GGCCGGCUAGUGAAAUGGUCAUCACGUCAGUUUCCGGGGAAGCAAUCAGCUGAAGGUUGCGAGUUCGAGUCUCGCGCUGGUCG